rnacentral:rRNA from 1 species
UACAGAGGUGCGAGCGUUAAUCGGAUUACUGGCGUAAAGCGUGCGUAGGCGGCUUUAAGUCGGAUGUGAAAUCCCCGAGCUUAACUUGGGAAUUGCAUUCGAUACUGGGAAGCUAGAGUAUGGGAGAGGACGGUAGAAUUCCAGGUGUAGCGGUGAAAUGCGUAGAGAUCUGGAGGAAUACCGAUGGCGAAGGCAGCCAUCUGGCCUAAUACUGACGCUGAGGUACGAAAGUGUGGGGAGCAAACAGG